UACAGAGGUCCCGAGCGUUGUUCGGAUUCACUGGGCGUAAAGGGUGCGUAGGUGGUGAGGUAAGUCGGAUGUGAAAUCUCCAAGCUCAACUUGGAAAUGGCAUUGGAAACUACCUUGCUGGAGGUUUGGAGGGGGUCUGGAAUUCUCGGUGUAGCAGUGAAAUGCGUAGAUAUCGAGAGGAACACCAGUGGCGAAAGCAGCUUUCUGGGACGGUACUGACGCUGAGACGCGAAAGCGUGGGGAGCGAACAGG
rnacentral:rRNA from 1 species